GGAUGAACGCUGGCGGCGUGCCUAAUACAUGCAAGUCGAGCGAACAGACGAGGAGCUUGCUCCUCUGACGUUAGCGGCGGACGGGUGAGUAACACGUGGAUAACCUACCUAUAAGACUGGGAUAACUUCGGGAAACCGGAGCUAAUACCGGAUAAUAUAUUGAACCGCAUGGUUCAAUAGUGAAAGACGGUUUUGCUGUCACUUAUAGAUGGAUCCGCGCCGCAUUAGCUAGUUGGUAAGGUAACGGCUUACCAAGGCAACGAUGCGUAGCCGACCUGAGAGGGUGAUCGGCCACACUGGAACUGAGACACGGUCCAGACUCCUACGGGAGGCAGCAGUAGGGAAUCUUCCGCAAUGGGCGAAAGCCUGACGGAGCAACGCCGCGUGAGUGAUGAAGGUCUUCUGAUCGUAAAACUCUGUUAUUAGGGAAGAACAAAUGUGUAAGUAACUAUGCACGUCUUGACGGUACCUAAUCAGAAAGCCACGGCUAACUACGUG
rnacentral:rRNA from 1 species